AGUGAACGCUGGCGGUAGGCCUAACACAUGCAAGUCGAACGGCAGCACAGUAAGAGCUUGCUCUUACGGGUGGCGAGUGGCGGACGGGUGAGGAAUACAUCGGAAUCUACUUUUUCGUGGGGGAUAACGUAGGGAAACUUACGCUAAUACCGCAUACGACCUACGGGUGAAAGCAGGGGAUCUUCGGACCUUGCGCGAUUGAAUGAGCCGAUGCCGGAUUAGCUAGUUGGCGGGGUAAAGGCCCACCAAGGCAACGAUCCGUAGCUGGUCUGAGAGGAUGAUCAGCCACACUGGAACUGAGACACGGUCCAGACUCCUACGGGAGGCAGCAGUGGGGAAUAUUGGACAAUGGGCGCAAGCCUGAUCCAGCCAUACCGCGUGGGUGAAGAAGGCCUUCGGGUUGUAAAGCCCUUUUGUCGGGAAAGAAAAGCAGCAGGUUAAUACCCCGCGGUUCUGACGGUACCCAAAGAAUAAGCACCGGCUAACUUCGUG
rnacentral:rRNA from 1 species